rnacentral:rRNA from 1 species
CGCGCAGGCGGCCAACCAAGUCAGGCGUGAAAGCCCCGGGCUUAACCUGGGAAUUGCGCUUGGGACUGUUUGGCUCGAGUACGGGAGAGGAGAGUGGAAUUCCCAGUGUAGAGGUGAAAUUCGUAGAUAUUGGGAAGAACACCGGUGGCGAAGGCGGCUCUCUGGACCGUAACUGACGCUGAGGCGCGAAAGCGUGGGGAGCAAACAGGAUUAGAUACCCUGGUAGUCCACGCUGUAAACGAUGUGCGCUAGACGUUGGAGGACCUAGUUCUCCGGUGUCGCAGCUAACGCUUUAAGCGCACCGCCUGGGGAGUACGGCCGCAAGGUUAAA